rnacentral:rRNA from 1 species
CGCGUAGGCGGCUCACUAAGUCGGAUGUGAAAACUCUGGGCUCAACCCAGAGCCUGCAUCCGAAACUAUUGGGCUAGAGUUCUGGAGGGGGAAGCGGAAUUCCUGGUGUAGCGGUGAAAUGCGUAGAUAUCAGGAGGAACACCGGUGGCGAAGGCGGCUUUCUGGACAGAAACUGACGCUGAGGCGCGAAAGCUAGGGAGCAAACA